rnacentral:rRNA from 1 species
AUUGAACGCUGGCGGCAGGCCUAACACAUGCCAGUCGAGCGGAUGAAGGGAGCUUGCUCCUGGAUUCAGCGGCGGACGGGUGAGUAAUGCCUAGGAAUCUGCCUGGUAGUGGGGGAUAACGUCCGGGAACGGGCGCUAAUACCGCAUACGUCCUGAGGGAGAAAGUGGGGGAUCUUCGGACCUCACGCUAUCAGAUGAGCCUAGGUCGGAUUAGCUAGUUGGUGGGGUAAAGGCCUACCAAGGCGACGAUCCGUAACUGGUCUGAGAGGAGGAUCAGUCACACUGGAACUGAGACACGGUCCAGACUCCUACGGGAGGCAGCAGUGGGGAAUAUUGGACAAGGGGCGAAAGCUUGAUCCAGCCAUGCCGCGUGGGUGAAGAAGGUCUUCGGACUGUAAAGCACUUUAAGUUGGGAGGAAGGGCAGUAAGGUAAUAACUUGAUGUUUUGACGGUACCAAAAGAAUAAGCACCGGCUAACUUCGUG